AACGAACGCUGGCGGCAUGCCUAACACAUGCAAGUCGAACGAAGCCUUCGGGCUUAGUGGCGCACGGGUGCGUAACACGUGGGAAUCUGCCCUUCGGUUCGGAAUAACAGUUAGAAAUGACUGCUAAUACCGGAUGAUGACGAAAGUCCAAAGAUUUAUCGCCGAAGGAUGAGCCCGCGUAGGAUUAGGUAGUUGGUAGGGUAAUGGCCUACCAAGCCGACGAUCCUUAGCUGGUCUGAGAGGAUGAUCAGCCACACUGGGACUGAGACACGGCCCAGACUCCUACGGGAGGCAGCAGUGGGGAAUAUUGGACAAUGGGCGAAAGCCUGAUCCAGCAAUGCCGCGUGAGUGAUGAAGGCCUUAGGGUUGUAAAGCUCUUUUACCAGGGAUGAUAAUGACAGUACCUGGAGAAUAAGCUCGGCUAACUCCGUG
rnacentral:rRNA from 1 species